GAUGAACGCUGGCGGCGUGCCUAAUACAUGCAAGUCGAGCGAAUGGAUUAAGAGCUUGCUCUUAUGACGUUAGCGGCGGACGGGUGAGUAACACGUGGGUAACCUGCCCAUAAGACUGGGAUAACUCCGGGAAACCGGGGCUAAUACCGGAUAACAUUUUGAACCGCAGGGUUCGAAAUUGAAAGGCGGCUUCGGCUGUCACUCAUGGAUGGACCCGCGUCGCAUUAGCUAGUUGGUGAGGUAACGGCUCACCAAGGCAACGAUGCGUAGCCGACCUGAGAGGGUGAUCGGCCACACUGGGACUGAGACACGGCCCAGACUCCUACGGGAGGCAGCAGUAGGGAAUCUUCCGCAAUGGACGAAAGUCUGACGGAGCAACGCCGCGUGAGUGAUGAAGGCUUUCGGGUCGUAAAACUCUGUUGUUAGGGAAGAACAAGUGCUAGUUGAAUAAGCUGGCACCUUGACGGUACCUAACCAGAAAGCCACGGCUAACUACGUGCCAGCCGCCGCGGUAA
rnacentral:rRNA from 1 species